rnacentral:rRNA from 1 species
CAGUCGCCGCGGUAAUACAGAGGGUGCGAGCGUUAAUCGGAUUUACUGGGCGUAAAGCGUGCGUAGGCGGCUUUUUAAGUCGGAUGUGAAAUCCCCGAGCUUAACUUGGGAAUUGCAUUCGAUACUGGGAAGCUAGAGUAUGGGAGAGGAUGGUAGAAUUCCAGGUGUAGCGGUGAAAUGCGUAGAGAUCUGGAGGGAUACCGAUGGCGAAGGCAGCCAUCUGGCCUAAUACUGACGCUGAGGUACGAAAGCAUGGGGAGCAAACAGGAUUAGAUACCCGAGUAGUCCCUGUCUCUUAUAC